GAAUCAGUGCGCUGGUCGUGCCUCUGGUAUGCACUGGUGCUACUGAUUUCUCCCUUCUGAAGAACUAUCAUGCCAUUAAUUUGGUGUGGUAGGGAAUCAGGACUGUUACUUUGAAAAAAUUAGAGUGUUUAAAGCAGGCUCACGCUUGAAUACAUUAGCAUGGAAUAGUGAAAUAGGACGUUGAUCUUAUUUUGUUGGUUUCUAGGAUUGACGUAAUGAUUAAUAGGGAUAGUUGGGGGCAUUAGUAUUCAAUUGUCAGAGGUGAAAUUCUUGGAUUUAUUGAAGACUAACUACUGCGAAAGCAUUUGCCAAGGAUGUUUUCAUUAAUCAAGAACGAAAGUUAGGGGAUCGAAGACGAUCAGAUACCGUCGUAGUCUUAACCAUAAACUAUGCCGACUAGGAAUCAGACGAUGUUAAUUUUUUAAUGACUCGUUUGGCACCUUACGGGAAACCAAAGUGUUUGGGUUCCGGGGGGAGUAUGGUCGCAAGGCUGAAACUUAAAGGAAUUGACGGAAGGGCACCACCAGGGGUGGAGCCUGCGGCUUAAUUUGACUCAACACGGGAAAACUUACCAGGUCCAGACAUAGUAAGGAUUGACAGAUUGAGAGC
rnacentral:rRNA from 1 species